UCCGGUUUGUCACCGGCAGUCUCAUUAGAGUUCCCAGCAUUACCUGUUGGCAACUAACGACAAGGGUUGCGCUCGUUGCGGGACUUAACCCAACACCUCACGGCACGAGCUGACGACAGCCAUGCAGCACCUGUUUAGCAGUCCCGAAGGAAGACACCAUCUCUGGUGUUGUCUACUAUAUGUCAAGCCUAGGUAAGGUUCUUCGCGUUGCAUCGAAUUAAACCACAUGCUCCACUGCUUGUGCGGGUCCCCGUCAAUUCUUUUGAGUUUCACCCUUGCGAGUGUACUCCCCAGGCGGUAUACUUAUCGCGUUAGCUUCGGCACAGCUGGGGUUGAGACCAGCUACACCAAGUAUACAUAGUUUACGGUUAGGACUAC
rnacentral:misc_RNA from 1 species